rnacentral:rRNA from 1 species
AUUGAACGCUGGCGGCAUGCUUUACACAUGCAAGUCGAGCGGCAGCGCGGGCUUCGGCCUGGCGGCGAGUGGCGAACGGGUGAGUAAUACAUCGGAACGUGCCCAGUAGUGGGGGAUAGCUCGGCGAAAGCCGGAUUAAUACCGCAUACGACCUGAGGGUGAAAGCGGGGGAUCUUCGGACCUCGCGCUAUUGGAGCGGCCGAUGGCAGAUUAGCUAGUUGGUGGGGUAAAGGCCUACCAAGGCGACGAUCUGUAGCUGGUCUGAGAGGACGACCAGCCACACUGGGACUGAGACACGGCCCAGACUCCUACGGGAGGCAGCAGUGGGGAAUUUUGGACAAUGGGCGAAAGCCUGAUCCAGCAAUGCCGCGUGUGUGAUGAAGGCCUUCGGGUUGUAAAGCACUUUUGGCGGGAACGAAAAGGACUGUGCCAAUACCACGGUUCGAUGACGGUACCCGCAGAUUAAGCACCGGCUAACUACGUG